AUUGCUAGAUGGUCACUUUGAUUAGUACAGAAAUUGGUUCCUGUGCUACUGGCUUAGGUUCGAACCUACGGGGUCACACACAUUAGAGGUUCCUAUCUGAUCUGAUAGCUGGUGAAGAGUCCUUCAUGUCUGAGAUUCUGUGAUCGAGAAUCAGGAUUCUCUGAUCAUGAAUUCCACACAUUUUGGGUACCGGGGUCAAGAGUCCCACUGGUUUAGGACU
rnacentral:lncRNA from 1 species